rnacentral:rRNA from 1 species
UGGGGAAUAUUGCACAAUGGGCGCAAGCCUGAUGCAGCCAUGCCGCGUGUAUGAAGAAGGCCUUCGGGUUGUAAAGUACUUUCAGCGAGGAGGAAGGCGUUGUGGUUAAUAACCGCAACGAUUGACGUUACUCGCAGAAGAAGCACCGGCUAACUCCGUGCCAGCAGCCGCGGUAAUACGGAGGGUGCAAGCGUUAAUCGGAAUUACUGGGCGUAAAGCGCACGCAGGCGGUCUGUCAAGUCGGAUGUGAAAUCCCCGGGCUCAACCGGGGAACUGCAUCCGAAACUGGCAGGCUAGAGUCUUGUAGAGGGGGGUAGAACUCCAGGUGUAGCGGUGAAAUGCGUAGAGAUCUGGAGGAAUACCGGUGGCGAAGGCGGCCCCCUGGACAAAGACUGACGCUCAGGUGCGAAAGCGUGGGGAGCAAACA